GGCCGGAUGUUAGUCGGCCACGGUUGUACUUCCGUCUCCUUAAGAAUAUUAUGGUUGUACUUCCGACUCCUUAAGAAUAUUAUGGUUGUACUUCCGUCUCCUUAAGAAUAUUAUGGUUGUACUUCCGUUUCCUUAAGAAUGUUUCGUCGACCUGAGGUUGGGAAGAAAAUGCGUAAAAAUAUACGAAUUAAUUAAAAUAGGAUAAAAGUAAGUACAAACCUCUACAUGGGGCCCUGGACAUCCAAUUUGUAGAGGCAUAUGGGAGACGGCAAUCUCUGCUACUUCACGGCAGUACGAGUAAAUAUCUACCGCAGUGUUCUGACCGACGCGGGCGUGAUCUUUUGCCAUCGUCACAUCCAGGCCCACCACCUAAUAAAACAACAAGGUUAAAACCUGUAGAAAAAAUGAGGUAGAUUAGAAAAGAAUCAUCACAUGAGGAAUCGAGCAAACGGAGAAGGAAUACAUACGAAUACACACCUUGUAAAUUGGGAGAUGGACGCGUUCAAACCAGAUGUUAUCAGUUGGCUGGACGAUGCCAGAACACAGACGGUUCCUUGUAGAUUUGCGAAAUUUUCGGCGUUUGGUGACCAUACGCCGAAAGUUUUCGCAGCGGUAGACAAACCCGAAUUUCGUGCGAGCGUCCCUCUCAA
rnacentral:lncRNA from 1 species